rfam:Macrostomum lignano uti_cns_0000791, whole genome shotgun sequence.
GGGGUUGUAGUCUAGUGUUUAGAGCGUCGGACUCAUGAUUUGAAGGUCGGGAGUUCGAUUCCCAAUCCCA